GGAGAGAUGGCUCAGUGGUUAAGAGCACUGGCUGUUCUUCCGGGAGACCCNGGUUCAAUUCCCAGUAUCCCCA
rnacentral:tRNA from 1 species